rnacentral:lncRNA from 1 species
AUGACAGGCUAUUUGAAACAUACACCAUAUCGUUUGCUACUGCUCAAACUGUUGGAGACUGUGUUGAAACACAUGCUCCCAGAAGCCUGCCUCUUUCUUCUCCAUGCCAUGGAGGUAAAAUGGAGUCUGAAGAUGGUGAAGUUUCAAAGGGUGCAGCCAGAAGAUCACGGAAGCCGUUGGCACUGCACCAGUAAUUGUGGCUUCCUUAAUAAGGCCUCGCUCCUCCAAGGCUGUAAAGUACCUCAACUGCAAGGAAAGUUAUGUCCUCCUCCUCACCUCCCCCUCAGUAAAGAAAACAGCAUUUCCUGUGUUUGCAUCAGCUUCUCAGUAACUCUUAAGUGAGGAAUCUGACAGCUCAUAAUUCAGAUGGUGACAGAGGUUUCAGCAGGUAAAACCCAGGUUUCCAGGGUUUGCUGGGAAGUAAACUUGUUAUGAAUUUUAAUUAGGUUGGCAGUUACAGUGGAAAACCAGAGAUAAUUUGUUGGUAAAUAUUUUGUUGCUCCCACCAAACAGUGGAGGUCAGUGGGUGCUUUGAGAUGGGUUUCAGUCCAGGGUGGCCCUGACCUUCUGUAACCAUUUCAGAGGAAAGCCUGUGCUCAGGUUGGUCUGAAGGUGCAGUGGCCCAAUGUAGCACACAGUCACUGAUGAGAAGCUGAACAGGAGUUCAUUUUGAGGGCGGAGAUC